GAUGAACGCUGGCGGCGUGCCUAAUACAUGCAAGUCGAGCGAACGGACGAGGAGCUUGCUUCUCUGAUGUUAGCGGCGGACGGGUGAGUAAUACGUGGCUAACCUACCUAUAAGAAUGAGAUAACUUCAGGAAACCUGAGCUCAUACAGGAUAAUAUUUUGAAACUCAUGGUUCAAAAGUGAAAGACGGUCUUGCUGUCACUUAUAGAUGGAACCGCGCUGCAUUAGCUAGUUGGUAAGGUAACGGCUUACCAAGGCAACGAUGCAUAGCCGACCUGAGAGGGUGAUCAGCCACACUGGAACUGAGACACGGCCCAGACUCCUACGGGAGGCAGCAGUAGGGAAUCUUCCGCAAUGGGCGAAAGCCUGACGGAGCAACGCCGCGUGAGUGAUGAAGGUCUUCGGAUCGUAAAACUCUGUUAUUUGGGAAGAACAUAUGUGUAAGUAACUGUGCACAUCUUGACGUUACCUAAUCAGAAAGCCACGGCUAACUACGUG
rnacentral:rRNA from 1 species